rnacentral:tRNA from 1 species
UAAAGAGUAGUAAAGUGGAAAUACAGAGGGUUUUGAUCUCUCAGUCAUAGGUUCAAUUCCUAUCUCUUUA